CGCAGAUUCUACUUUUGCAGAAAGAGACAAAGCGGAAGUUCAACUAGUUACACAGUUCUACAGGUCUACAGUAGCUUCAGCUGACGCAACAAUCUUCAAAUCACUAAGAAUUCUCAUACCAAUGCAUCUUCCAGUAUGUGCAACAGUUUAGCCUUGUGAUUUUCCAUGAUCAUGUGUAUUCCUUUCACCAUGCCAAACACUCCGCCAUGUUGGAAAACUAUCGUACCCAGGUUUGCACGGUUGGUUGCACUUCAAGUGAGCGUAUUUGACGUACAAACCAGGCAGGGCUCAAAAUGGCGUCUGGAAGGAAACGUGGGUUGAAACUUCACUCAAUAAUCGAGAAACUUUCUGAACAGUGUGAAAGAAAGAGUCCUUUACGCGAUGACGAAGGUGAAGAUAUUCAUCUGAGUUCAGAACUUUGUAAUGUAAAAAGGUGCAGUAUUUUAAAUGUCAUUAUUUUCCCAGUGUACUGAACCAAAUUUCCUUAAUCAAGUGCUCAGCUUUACUUAAAGUGCCUAUGAAGUAAAAAAUAAUUGCUGAUUAUUUGAAAGGCUUUUCA